CAGGGAGGAUAAUUACUUAUCCUCCCUCUGUAUGGGGAGGAUAAUUACUUAUCCUCCCUAUUUACAAGGAGGAUAAUUACUUAUCCUCCCUCUUUACAGGGAGGAUAAUUACUUAUCCUCUCUAUU